rnacentral:rRNA from 1 species
GACGAACGCUGGCGGCGUGCUUAACACAUGCAAGUCGAACGGUGAACCUCUUCGGAGGGGAUCCGUAGCGAACGGGUGAGUAACACGUUGGCAACCUGCUACCGUAUCUGGGAUACCUCCAAGACAUUGGGACUAAUACCCGAUGUCCACCGCUUCCCGCAUGCGUCGUGGUGCAAAGGGUUUGCGGCAGCGGACAGGCACGCGGCGUAUGAGCUUGUUGGCGAGGUAGGGGCAGACGAAGGAGACGACGGGUAGCCGGCCUGAGAGGGUGACCGGGGACACUGGGCCUGAGAGACGGCGCAGACUCCUAUGGUCGGCCGCAGUGGGGAACCUUGCGCCAUGAGCGGGAGUGUGACGCAGCGACGCCGCGUGCGUGAUGACGGCCUUCGAGUGAUAAACCUAUUUGUGCAGAAACGUAGAGCAAGUGACGGUACCUGCAGAGAAAGCAACGGCUAACUACGUG